rnacentral:rRNA from 1 species
CAGCCGCCGCGGUAAUACGGAUGGUGCAAGCGUUAUCCGGAUUUAUUGGGUUUAAAGGGUCCGUAGGCGGAUCUGUAAGUCAGUGGUGAAAUCUCACAGCUUAACUGUGAAACUGCCAUUGAUACUGCAGGUCUUGAGUAAAUUUGAAGUGGCUGGAAUAAGUAGUGUAGCGGUGAAAUGCAUAGAUAUUACUUAGAACACCAAUUGCGAAGGCAGGUCACUAAGAUUUAACUGACGCUGAUGGACGAAAGCGUGGGGAGCGAACAGGAUUAGAUACCCCGGUAGUCCCUGUCUCUUAUAC